rnacentral:rRNA from 1 species
GUAGGUGGCAAGCGUUGUCCGGAAUUAUUGGGCGUAAAGCGCGCGCAGGUGGUUCUUUAAGUCUGAUGUGAAAGCCCCCGGCUCAACCGGGGAGGGUCAUUGGAAACUGGGGAACUUGAGUGCAGGAGAGGAAAGUGGAAUUCCACGUGUAGCGGUGAAAUGCGUAGAUAUGUGGAGGAACACCAGUGGCGAAGGCGACUUUCUGGCCUGUAACUGACACUGAGGCGCGAAAGCGUGGGGAGCGAACAGGGAUUAGAUACCCUGGUAGUCCACGCCGUAAACGAUGAGUGCUAAGUGUUGGGGGGGUUUCCCGCCCCUCAGUGCUGCAGCUAACGCAUUAAGCACUCCGCCUGGGGAUACGGUCGCAAGACUG